GGGAAAUCCUCUGCGUUUUAGUGACGUAUUUUGUAAAACACACAGUACAGAACAACAUUUUCCCCACCGUAUUGCUAUGGACAUGUGUUACUUGUCUUUGUAUCUUAUCCUUUUUUUGGUUCACGGUGUUAAGGUUAUUAUAGGUUUUUUAUUUUUUCUUUAUUUUUUUGUAUCUUUUUCUAGUUUUACGAGCGAGGGCCCUGCAAUUUCGACAACCUCGAAAGGACUGCAGGGACUUAAAGCCAUGACCUUUGCAAAGAGGCCUGCGAGAGGAGCCCGUGCCCGUGCGCACUGGGGACGAGACACGCGGAGCCUUUGCUGAUCUGUACGGUCGACCCCUUGGCUGCUGCAGCUUCCUGUCCUGGCAGAGCGAGAGAGGCAGAAAGACAAAGUAAGGGCAAAAGAAAGUGCAGCGGCUACAAGCUCGAAGGUGGAAACAUCCGACUUAUAAAGGCCACCAUAUCUGUUCCGCCGUCGCUCUGCUGAGAAGUCCAGUUCCGACCCGAUUUGGAUGCAGGACGGCAGUAUUUUGGGUUGUGAAGAGCGAAAAUCAACGCACAAGUGAACAAAUGAGGAGAGCGCUGUUCUUCUUCUCCAUCAGCCUGACAGUCAUGGCAUGCAAAGGUGUUCAACUGACAUGUCCAGGACAUUCCCCGGUGUCAUGGGAUGGAAAAUAUAUACCGGAAGAAGUAAAAAGUGAAUCAAUCAUAUUAGAGGAUUUUGAAGGACUGGUUCGCUGUAGUUAUGACAAAAACCAAACAUAUUAUUUUUAUAUUAAUGACAAAGCCUGGGCAGCGUGUAAGAACUGCGUCAAGCUCGACGGGGCUUCGGUGGUUAUCGUUAUAGCGGGGGACCUGCUGCUGACUGCCGGAGUUAUGCUCGUCGCCUGCAUCUGUGGCCGGAGAAAGCUGAGAGUUCCCGCUGUACCCCCCGCCCAGCCAAGACCCCAGGGACCCACAACCUCCAGCUGUGAAUAUGAGGCUUUAAGCCCUACAACCAGAGACAAUGCCCUCUACAGUGUUUCCGGGCUGCACAGAACUGGCUGAUCCGUUGGAUUCCUUUGCUUCCCGUAGAAACAUCCCGUGGAAAGGCUUUGCGUGUCAGUUUUAUUCCAGCAGCAGCGCCAGUCCGACCAGUAUCUCUGGAACAAUUCUAGCACUUGUGUGUCUUUUUUUUUAAAUAAUGCUGGCUAGGUUUUACUGAGUUUUACGUUUUGCUGUUCAAAGUAGAAAUACAAGCUUUGGGUUUAUUUUAGGAUUUAUUUUUUUACUCAGCAAUUUGCUUCAAUGCCUUACUUUGUACAAAUAUUGUUAAUGUCUUAAAAGAUCUUUUCAUAGGCAAAUAAAGACAGUUAAUUAAAUGACA
rnacentral:lncRNA from 1 species